CUCACCGAAGUUCUAAGUUUGUGGAAUUUGGGGUGUCAAAGUGGUGGAGGAAAAAGAAGGUGGGGAGGAAGUUUAUAUAGGCCUCUUGUGUGGAAACUUGGGGGCAAAGCCUCUUAUUUUUGGCUGCCAGCUCCAUCUCUUUCUUGGCAUCAUGUUUCUUUACCUAAUUGAGCAAGUCUUGGGGGCAAAGGCUCCUAUUUUUGGGGCUGCCAUCUCAUCUCUCCCUUGUGCUUAUCCAAUUGUAUGCCAUUUUGGUGUAUAUGAGUUGGAGCUUUGGAGUCUUGUGGCUGCUCCCUAAUCGAGAAAGAGAGUGAGGGAGAAAGAAAGAAGAUGCUCCUCUAGAGAUCCCUUGGCUCCAUCACCAAAAUAGCUAGCUUCCAAACUUGUUGAUUAGUGUUGUAGGAUAAAGGGUGUAGAAUAGAUGUGUGUAUUAUCACUCUCACAUAUGUAAAUAUGUACUACUUGUAUUUAAAUUCCUCCAAGUACUUAUCUAAUAAAAUUAUGGCAUUUACUUUUA